GGGGAUUUAGCUCAGCGCCUGCCUUGCAAGCAGGCAGUCGUGAGUUCAAUCCCCG
rnacentral:tRNA from 1 species